rnacentral:rRNA from 1 species
GACGAACGCUGGCGGCGUGCUUAACACAUGCAAGUCGAACGGAAAGGCCCUGCUUUUGUGGGGUGCUCGAGUGGCGAACGGGUGAGUAACACGUGAGUAACCUGCCCUUGACUUUGGGAUAACUUCAGGAAACUGGGGCUAAUACCGGAUAGGAGCUCCUGCUGCAUGGUGGGGGUUGGAAAGUUUCGGCGGUUGGGGAUGGACUCGCGGCUUAUCAGCUUGUUGGUGGGGUAGUGGCUUACCAAGGCUUUGACGGGUAGCCGGCCUGAGAGGGUGACCGGCCACAUUGGGACUGAGAUACGGCCCAGACUCCUACGGGAGGCAGCAGUGGAGAAUAUUGCACAAUGGGCGGAAGCCUGAUGCAGCAACGCCGCGUGCGGGAUGACGGCCUUCGGGUUGUAAACCGCUUUCGCCUGUGACGAGGCGUGAGUGACGGUAAUGGGUAAAGAAGCACCGGCUAACUACGUG